AGAUUGAACGCUAGCGGCAUGCCUAACACAUGCAAGUCGAACGGUAACAGGCCCUUCGGGGUGCUGACGAGUGGCGGACGGGUGAGUAAGGCAUCGGAAUCUGCCCUGAUGUGGGGGAUAACGUAGGGAAACUUACGCUAAUACCGCAUACGACCGAGAGGUGAAAGCGGGGGACCGAAAGGCCUCGCGCCGGUGGAUGAGCCGAAGCCGGAUUAGCUAGUUGGUAGGGUAAUGGCCUACCAAGGCGACGAUCCGUAGCUGGUCUGAGAGGACGACCAGCCACACUGGGACUGAGACACGGCCCAGACUCCUACGGGCGGCAGC
rnacentral:rRNA from 1 species